rnacentral:rRNA from 1 species
AGGCGUCGAGUGGCGGACGGGUGAGUAAUGCAUAGGAAUCUACCUUAUAGUGGGGGAUAACGUGGGGAAACUCACGCUAAUACCGCAUAAUCUCUACGGAGGAAAGCGGGGGCUCUUCGGACCUCGUGCUAAAAGAUGAGCCUAUGUCAGAUUAGCUAGUUGGUAGGGUAAUGGCCUACCAAGGCGACGAUCUGUAGCUGGUUUGAGAGAACGAUCAGCCACACUGGGACUGAGACACGGCCCAGACUCC